rnacentral:rRNA from 1 species
UACGAGUGCCCCGAGCGUUAUCCGGAAUUAUUGGGCGUAAAGGGUCCGCAGGCGGAACUGUUAGUCUUAUGUGAAAUCUCCCGGCUUAACUGGGAACACGCAUAGGAAACGGCAGAUCUAGAGGAUAUGAGAGGUGUGUGGAACUCAUGGUGUAGGGGUGAAAUCCGUUGAUAUCAUGGGGAACACCAAAUGCGAAGGCAACACACUGGCAUACUCCUGACGCUCAGGGACGAAAGCACGGGUAGCGAAUGGG